AUGUUAUGACAAGGUGAGGUGCAUGGAUUCAAAAUGGUUAACGUUCUAAUAGCCGUGUUCUUGCUAGGAUUACUCAGCACAUGUGAUGGUUUUAUAAUACCCAACCACCCAGGAAGAUGUCCAUUCGAUCGAGCACGUGGAGCGAGGUCCAGUCGAAGCAUUUGCCUGGCCCGCUGUACAUCAGAUAGCGACUGCCCAAUUUCGAAAAAGUGUUGCAACAUUAGUUGUCUUCUGGACUGCGCAGAAGCAGUCUAGGAUUAACUUUAAGCACUAUGUAUGAUAGAUAUACAUUCUACAAAUGGACAGUACACAUAAGAUUUGAUUUUUAUGCUUACAUCUUUGAAUUAACAAUAAAUUCAUUUUCAUUGAAA